rnacentral:rRNA from 1 species
CAUGCAAGUCGAGCGCGAUUAGUUGGACUGGAGGCUUCGGCCAAAGGGAAGACUAUGAAAGCGGUGGACGGGUGAGUAACGCGUGAGCAACCUGCCCUGUACAGGGGGAUAGCCACUGGAAACGGUGAUUAAUACCCCAUAACCCCAAAAGAUCGCAUGAUCUAAUGGGCAAAGUCCUAACGGUACAGGAUGGGCUCGCGUCUGAUUAGCUAGUUGGUGAAGUAAUGGCUCACCAAGGCGACGAUCAGUAGCCGACCUGAGAGGGUGAACGGCCACACUGGAACUGAGACACGGUCCAGACUCCUACGGGAGGCAGCAGUGGGGAAUAUUGCACAAUGGGCGCAAGCCUGAUGCAGCAACGCCGCGUGAGUGAUGAAGCCUUCGGGUCGUAAAACUCUGUCCUAAGGGAAGAAGAAGUGACGGUACCUUAGGAGGAAGCCCCGGCUAACUACGUGCCACAGCCGCGGUAAUACGUAGGGGGCAAAGCGUUAUCCGGAAUCACUGGGCGUAAAGGUGCCUAGGCCGGCUGAUCAAGCCAGGGGUGAAAGGCAAUAGCUAACUAUUGUAAGCCUUUGAACUGGCACUUGAUGCAGGAAAGGAAAACGGAAUUCUAUGUACCGUGAAAUCCUA